UACGUAGGUGGCAAGCGUUGUCCGGAAUUACUGGGUGUAAAGCGCGUGUAGGCGGGAGGCCAAGUCUGCUGUGAAAUCGCCCGGCUCAACUGGGCGGGGUCGGUGGAAACUGGUCACCUGGAGGACGGUAGAGGCGAGUGGAAUUCCCGGUGUAGUGGUGAAAUGCGUAGAGAUCGGGAGGAACACCAGUGGCGAAGGCGGCUCGCUGGGCCGGACCUGACGCUGAGGCGCGAAAGCGUGGGGAGCAAACAGG
rnacentral:rRNA from 1 species